rnacentral:rRNA from 1 species
AUUGAACGCUGGCGGCAUGCCUUACACAUGCAAGUCGAACGGUAACAGGUCUUCGGAUGCUGACGAGUGGCGAACGGGUGAGUAAUACAUCGGAACGUGCCUAGUAGUGGGGGAUAACUACUCGAAAGAGUGGCUAAUACCGCAUGAGAUCUACGGAUGAAAGCAGGGGAUCGCAAGACCUUGUGCUACUAGAGCGGCCGAUGGCAGAUUAGGUAGUUGGUGGGAUAAAAGCUUACCAAGCCGACGAUCUGUAGCUGGUCUGAGAGGACGAUCAGCCACACUGGGACUGAGACACGGCCCAGACUCCUACGGGAGGCAGCAGUGGGGAAUUUUGGACAAUGGGCGAAAGCCUGAUCCAGCAAUGCCGCGUGCAGGAUGAAGGCCUUCGGGUUGUAAACUGCUUUUGUACGGAACGAAAAGCCCUGGGUUAAUACCCUGGGGUCAUGACGGUGCCGUAGGAAUAAGCACCGGCUAACUACGUGCCAGCCGCCGCGGUAA